CGUGUGGGGGGAGGAAGAAGAAGUACGGUGAAGAGCCGACCCUGACGGUAUCCCCUUAGCAAGCACCGGCUAACUCCGUGCCAGCAGCCGCGGUAAUACGGAGGGUGCAAACGUUGCUCGGAAUCAUUGGGCGUAAAGCGCGCGUAGGCGGCUGAACAAAGUUGGGAUGUGAAAGCCCUGGGGCUCAACCUAGGAUGUGCAUUCAAAACUGUUCGGCUUGAGUCUCGGAGGGGGUCAGAGAAUUCUCGGUGUAGAGGUGAAAUUCGUAGAUAUCGGGAGGAACACCAGUGGCGAAGGCGCUGACCUGGACGAUGACUGACGCUGAGGCGCGAAAGCGUGGGGAGCAAACAGGAUUAGAUACCCUGGUAGUCCACGCCGUAAACGAUGAGUGCUAGACGCUGGCGGAUUGACCCCGUCGGUGUCGAAGCUAACGCGUUAAGCACUCCGCCUGGGGAGUACGGUCGCAAGACUAAAAACUCAAAGGAAUUGACGGGGGG
rnacentral:rRNA from 1 species